rnacentral:rRNA from 1 species
UACAGAGGGUGCAAGCGUUAAUCGGAAUUACUGGGCGUAAAGGGCGCGUAGGCGGUUAAAUAAGCUAGAUGUGAAAUAACUGGGCUUAACCUGGUAGAGCAUAUAGGACUGUUAGACUAGAGAGGGGUAGAGGUGAGCGGAAUUUCCGGAGUAGCGGUGAAAUGCGUAGAUACCGGAAAGAACACCAGAGGCGAAGGCGGCUCACUGGACUCUAACUGACGCUGAGGCGCGAAAGCAUGGGGAGCAAACAGGAUUAGAUACCCUGGUAGUCCAUGCUGUAAACGAUGAGAACUAGAUGUUAUGAGGCAAAAGGCCUGAUAGUGUCGAAGCAAACGCGAUAAGUUCUCCGCCUGGGGAGUACGGCCGCAAGGCUAAA